GCAUCGAUGAAGAACGCAGCGAAACGCGAUAGGUAAUGUGAAUUGCAGAAUUCCGUGAAUCAUCGAAUCUUUGAACGCACCUUGCGCUCCAUGGCAUUCCGUGGAGCAUGCCUGUUUGAGUGCCGCGAAAUCUCCCACCCCUAGCGGUUGCCGCAAGGCGCCGCCGGGCGGCGGGGUUGGUUGGGUGCCGCUGCCUGGGCUUUGGCCCAGGCUCGCCCGAAAUGCAUGAGCGCUUAGCACUCGCACCGUCUCGAGGGAAGGCGGCGGAGCUGGCAUCUGCGCAUGGCAUGAUACGUCAUUUGCUGUGUGGCAGCCCAGCGACCCGAGAGUGUGUGUGCGCUACUACACGCCCUUUCAUUUCUGGUCUCAAAUCAGGUAGGAUCACCCGCUGAACUUAAGCAUAUCAAUAAGCGGAGGAA
rnacentral:rRNA from 1 species